rnacentral:rRNA from 1 species
UACAGAGGUCUCAAGCGUUGUUCGGAUUUAUUGGGUUUAAAGGGUGCGUAGGCGGCUUUGUAAGUCAGUGGUGAAAUACGGUAGCUCAACUAUCGAGGUGCCAUUGAUACUGCAGAGCUUGAGUACAGAUGAGGUAGGCGGAAUUGACGGUGUAGCGGUGAAAUGCUUAGAUAUCGUCAAGAACUCCUAUAGCGAAGGCAGCUUACUAGGCUUUAACUGACGCUGAGGCACGAAAGUGUGGGGAUCAAACAGG